UCUCUUUCUUCCUCUCUCUAGACGGACAAACGAAAAAAAAGAGCCCGCAGGAGAGAGAAAGUAGAGAGAGAAAGAGGAGAGAGAGUAUCGAAGGAUCGAUCACUGGGGUCUUUUCUAUCUCUGAUUCAAUUUAUACAGAGAGAUAUUUGAGAGCGAUAGUAUCAAACAGAAUCGAAAUGCCAAGCAAUUUGAAGAGAGAGAAAGUGGAUAUAACACAACGGGAAGAUGUGUAUACGUGGGUUCCAACGAAGAAGCCUUUGUGAAUACUAAUUCUGAAUCUGAAUUUUGAUUUAGUAUUGUGAAGCUAACAAUAAGGUCAGAGUUCCAAUUUUCUCUCUGUAUAAACUCGAAUUUUGUCUCGCAGAAGCUUAAAUCUCUUCAAUGUCUGCUGUCUCAUUCCAAAUUUGUUUGAAAAUUUUAAACUCUGAAGCAAGAAACUCCAGUACUUCAUCUGUUUGUUACAUUUGAGUUUGUUUGAGGUAUACUAGAGAGUCAUAUUGAUAGCGUGAGCUUCUUAAUUUGAAUAAAUUGAAGUUUACUUGGAGUGACAUAGAGGUAUCUUUUUAUGGGUUUUGGAUGGUAUGCCUUAAAAUAAAGGGUUUUUUUGGCAAUUUAGUUUUGGUUAGAUAAUAGGUUGAGUUUGGUGGAUUGAAAGUUUAAAAUUUUGGCAAUUGAGUUUUGGAGGGAGAGUUAGUUGGGAACUGGGAUCUUUGGUUAUGGUAACGAAACCCUUGUAAUCUUUGUGCCAUUAGGGUUUGGUUUUUGAAGAUGGGCUUUAGUACAGUGUUAACUUUAGUGAUGUUGGAGGGGUUCACUCUAGUUUGGGAG
rnacentral:lncRNA from 1 species